rnacentral:rRNA from 1 species
UUCCAGACUCCUACGGGAGGCAGCAGUGAGGAAUAUUGGUCAAUGGGAGAGAUCCUGAACCAGCCAAGCCGCGUGAGGGAAGACGGCCCUAUGGGUUGUAAACCUCUUUUGUCGGAGAACAAAACCCGGGACGUGUCCCGGACUGCGUGUAUCCGAAGAAAAAGCAUCGGCUAACUCCGUGCCAGCAGCCGCGGUAAUACGGAGGAUGCGAGCGUUAUCCGGAUUUAUUGGGUUUAAAGGGUGCGCAGGCGGAAUGUCAAGUCAGCGGUAAAAUUUCGGGGCUCAACCCCGUCGUGCCGUUGAAACUGGCGUUCUUGAGUGAGCGAGAAGUAUGCGGAAUGCGUGGUGUAGCGGUGAAAUGCAUAGAUAUCACGCAGAACUCCGAUUGCGAAGGCAGCAUACCGGCGCUCAACUGACGCUCAUGCACGAAAGUGUGGGUAUCGAACAGGAUUAGAUACCCUAGUAUC